UACGGAGGGUGCGAGCGUUGUCCGGAAUCACUGGGCGUAAAGGGCGCGUAGGCGGCCUGAUAAGUAGGGGGUGAAAUCCCGGGGCUCAACCUCGGAAUUGCCUUUGAUACUGUCUGUCUUGAGUCCGGGAGAGGUGAGUGGAAUUCCUAGUGUAGAGGUGAAAUUCGUAGAUAUUAGGAAGAACACCAGUGGCGAAGGCGGCUCACUGGCCCGAUACUGACGCUGAGGCACGAAAGCGUGGGGAGCAAACAGG
rnacentral:rRNA from 1 species